rnacentral:tRNA from 5 species
GCACCUGUAGCUCAGUUGGAUAGAGUAGCGGUUUCCGAAGCCGUUGGUCGCUGGUUCGAAUCCAGUCAGGUGCGCCA